rnacentral:lncRNA from 1 species
ACUCAUAGUGAUCACGGCUCAAGAGGAUCGGUAAAUGGUUAAGUGUUGCUUAUGCACUCUUUUUCCCUUGUCAAGUUUUGUCCCAAUGGGUUUUUUUGACAAGGUUUUUAAUGAGACUUAAGUAAUAUUUUCAAGCCCCUUUAUCAAUCCAAUUCCUGGUCCAAGGCCCACUCACCAAGCCUUGGCCCAUUUUCUCUUUUCUCUUUUUUUUUUUUUUUUU